rnacentral:rRNA from 1 species
GAAGAACCUUACCAGGUCUUGACAUCCUCUGACAACCCUAGAGAUAGGGCUUCUCCUUCGGGAGCAGAGUGACAGGUGGUGCAUGGUCGUCGUCAGCUCGUGUCGUGAGAUGUUGGGUUAAGUCCCGCAACGAGCGCAACCCUUGAUCUUAGUUGCCAUCAUUCAGUUGGGCACUCUAAGGUGACUGCCGGUGACAAACCGGAGGAAGGUGGGGAUGACGUCAAAUCAUCAUGCCCCUUAUGACCUGGGCUACACACGUGCUACAAUGGACGGUACAAGAGCUGCAAGACCGCGAGGUGGAGCUAAUCUCAUAAAACCGUUCUCAGUUCGGAUUGUAGGCUGCAACUCGCCUACAUGAAGCUGGAAUCGCUAGUAAUCGCGGAUCAGCAUGCCGCGGUGAAUACGUUCCCGGGCCUUGUACACACCGCCCGUCACACCACGAGAGUUUGUAACACCCGAAGUCGGUGGGGUAACCUUUUGGAGCCAGCCGCCUAAGGUGGGACAGAUGAUUGGGGUGAAGUCGUAA